rnacentral:lncRNA from 1 species
ACUUUUCACGUCUGGCAUCCUCAGAAUCCUCCAAAAGGUCGGAUUCAGACAAUCCGGUGGAGCACUCUGAAAUUUAGAGGAAGUGGUCAAAUAGAAUUUUCUGGAAUUAUGGAAAUCUUCUAUUCUGUGCAUCUAGUAUAGUAGAAUCUAGUCACAUGUGGCUUUUGAGAACUGGAAAUAUGGCUAAUGCAACAGAGAAAGUGAAUUUUUACUUUUGAUUCAUUUAAAUAUAAAUGGUCACAUAUGACAUCACUGCCAUAUUGGACAUUGCAGUUCUGGAAGAUGGCAGAUGCAGCCCUCAGAAGAAUUAUCAGCCUGAAUGUCUGGGCGGAGCAGAGCACUACCUUCCCACUCACUCUUCCCCUCCUCUCGCCCCCUCCCCUGCCUCACUUGCAUCAGAUUAUGAUGUGAGCAAAAGCAGGAAACAGCUCUUUUGAUAGGCCUGUGAGACUUGCUGUUCGUUGGAGUAGCUAGGCUGCUCUGACUCAUACAGACCCAAAUCCUGGCAACCACUUUUAUGAAGAAAUGACAAUUCAGUCUACUACUUGUCCAUUUUACAUGCCCAAGGAAUGUGAGGGGCCUCUGCUUGGAUCUAGUUUUCAACCUAGUCUAUGGCAUUGAUUAUCCUUUUAAAAGACAAAAGAGGUGACUUCACGGGCACUUAACAUCUUGGCCAUACUGACCCCAGUUGCACGCUACGUAGGAAGUUUUAGUCCAUUUAAACUGAAGUUCCAAUUUUUUUUUUAACAACUAUUUAAAAAUUGUACAUGUCCCAUACAUGACAGAGAAAGGGUUGUCUGGUUGGAUGAUUUUUGGCUUGCAAAAAGAGAACACAAAAGAAAAGCAUACGUUUUAAUACUCAAGAGACCAAAUUUUCUGCUGAAGAGGAAAUGAACUACAUAUCCAGAAGGGUCCUACCAAGAGGCCAAACAGACUGUGUUCUCUUGGGGGAGUUCUCAGUGGUGAUGAGAACACCACUUUUUUUUUUUUUUUAGUCAUUUUCAAGGUGAGAUAUUGACUUGCUGCUGGAGCAGGACAACUGGUCUCUCUUUCAUUGCUAGCAGCAGAGUAAGGGUCUUGCAAGUUUCAGGCAGCAGCAGAGAAAGGGUCUUGCAAGUUUCAGUCCAAAGCAAGAAGAGCUAGGAUUGCACCAGCUGUCUCACCUACUCUGUGCUCACCUGUUUCUGGAUGAAGCACGGUGACAUCUGUUUUAUUGUAAAGAGAACCAACUUUGGAAUCAAAUGGAACCUGUAUUAAAAUCCUGAAUCCGUCACUAGCUUGGACAAGUCACUUCACUUCUCUGAACCUUGUUUUAUUCCAGUUAAGAAUAAUAGUAAGCCAGUCCCACAGAGCUGUAGCAAGGUUAAAAUGAAUGGUUGUCUGUAGAAGCAUUUAAAAUAGGGCUUCAUACAGAGCCAGUACCUGGGGAGACUGAGGGUUUGAACCACAUAGUUCCACUCUGGCAAAUCACAGAGGGGCUGUAGGAUGGUCCUUUAAGGGGGAUGUGUUAUGGGUUAAUUGGAACAGUGCUUCUUAAACUCCAGUGUGCAUUCAUAUUGCUUAGGGGUUUUGUUUAAAUGCAGAUUCUGAGUUACUAGGAUUAUGCAAUUUGAAUGAGCUUGCAGAUAAUUUCAUGGCUGCUGGUCUCUGACAUCACCUUUGAGAAGCAAAG